rnacentral:rRNA from 1 species
AUUGAACGCUGGCGGCAGGCCUAACACAUGCAAGUCGAACGAGUGGCGGACGGGUGAGUAAUGUCUGGGAAACUGCCUGAUGGAGGGGGAUAACUACUGGAACCGGUAGCUAAUACCGCAUACCAUCAGAUGUGCCCAGAGGGGAUUAGCGAGUUGGUGGGGUAACGGCUCACCAAGGCGACGACCCCUAGCUGGUCUGAGAGGAUGACAAGCCACACGGGAACUGAGACACGUGCCAGACUCCUACGGGAGGAAGCAGUGGGGAAUAUUGCACAAUGGGCGAAAGCCUGAUGCAGCAAGGCCGCGUGUAUGAAGAAGGCCUUCGGGUGGUAAAGUACUUUCAGCGGGGAGGCGUUACCCGCAGAAGAAGCACUGGCUAACUCCGUGCCAGCAGCCGCGGUAAUUC